rnacentral:rRNA from 1 species
GAUGAACGCUGGCGGCGUGCCUAAUACAUGCAAGUCGAGCGAACAGACGAGGCGCUUGCUCCUCUGACGUUAGCGGCGGACGUGUGAGUAACACGUGUAUAACCUACCUAUAAGACUGAGAUAACUUCGGGAAACCGGAGCUAAUACCGGAUAAUAUAUUGAACCGCAUGGUUCAAUAGUGAAAGACGGUUUUGCUGUCACUUAUCGAUGGAUCCGCGCCGCAUUAGCUAGUUGGUAAGGUAACGGCUUACCAAGGGAACGAUGCGUGGACGACGGAACAGGGUGGUCGGCCACACGGGAACUGAGACACGGUCCAGACUCCUACGGGAGGCAGCAGAAGGGAAUCGUCCGCAAUGGGCGAAAGCCUGACGGAGCAACGCCGCGUGAGUGAUGAAGGUCUUCGGAUCGUAAAACUCUGUUAUUAGGGAAGAACAAAUGUGUAAGUAACUAUGCACGUCUUGACGGUACCUAAUCAGAAAGCCACGGCUAACUACGUG